rnacentral:rRNA from 1 species
AGCGAACGCUGGCGGCAGGCCUAAUACAUGCAAGUCGAGCGGGUCCUUCGGGAUUAGCGGCGGACGGGUGAGUAACGCGUGGAACGUGCCCUUUGGUACGGAACAACUGAGGGAAACUUCAGCUAAUACCGUAUGUGCCCUUCGGGGAAGAUUAUCGCCAUUGGAGCGGCCCGCGUUGGAUUAGGUAGUUGGUGAGGUAAAGGCUCACCAAGCCUACGAUCCAUAGCUGGUCUGAGAGGAUGACCAGCCACACUGGGACUGAGACACGGCCCAGACUCCUACGGGAGGCAGCAGUAGGGAAUCUUGCGCAAUGGGCGAAAGCCUGACGCAGCCAUGCCGCGUGAAUGAUGAAGGUCUUAGGAUUGUAAAUUCUUCACCGGGACGAUAAUGAC